AACAGAUCCCUCCUUGACGAAGAACAUAGGUGGACAAGCUAUCCAGGCUGGAGAAGUGAUUGUCACUUCUGUCAUAGCUGGUGGAGACUUGGAGCUUUCCUUCGGAGAUGAGGAGGAUGAAAUUCUGGCAAAACAGCCAGCUGUUACGGCGACUCCUUCUGGCAGAAAGAAUAAGAGAAAAGAGACUGCUCCAACCCAUGAUAGUGUUGUCCAGCCUGAGACUUCAGCUGAAAGUCCUCUUCCCCCUUCUACUAAGUCAAAAAGGCUUAGGAAGAUAGCAGUGAAUACGUAGCCAUAGAAUCUGCAGCAGCUCCUACAACCUUUUCUGGGACAGAUAAAGAGCUGAGAAAGGCUUUCGAGGCUGUGGAGCAAGAAAACAAAGCAGAUGCCUCGACAGGGGAUAAAGAAAAAAGCAAAGAUGCUGAAGAAGAGGAGGAUAUCCCUACUGAGGUGAUAGCAGAGAGAAUUGCUUUGGAGAAGAAAUAGCAGGAAACUCAAAGGGCAGAACUGACAAGCUCAGGGUUGGCCCUUUUUGAAGAUGCAGAGGUAGAACACUCCACUGCAGUUCUAGUACCUGCGGAGCACUCAGAGCAAUCUACAUUAGAGCCUGUGGCAUAGGCAGAACUUCCUGUUGCAGCUCCAGAACCUAAAGUGGAGGUAGAAUACCCUGUUGCUAUUCCUGA